AGAAAGUUUGUUUCACCAGUUUACAAUAUAUUCCUUUCAUAGUCCCAGCUAUGACAACAGCUCUAUCAGUGGGGACUUCCUUGGAAAGGCUACAAGUUUGUAAAUGAGAAAGACGAAGAGGAUUCGGGCUCUUCACGUCCCGACGGAGGGCUCCGGAGUGUUAGUUCUGGUCAGAAGCUGAGAGUGCCUGCAGCCGAGCGCUGCUGCAAACACAUCACUGGAGAGACUGGUUUGCCUAGCUGACCAAGUGUCUCGUGAUAACUACUAUGCUUAUACUUCUUUGGGAGAAAAUCCUCAGCAAAUCGAAAAACCAAAUGCAGAGCAAAACAUUAUAUGGGCAAAGGAAACCAAGCUUGAUGAAAGAUACACCUCCAAAUUCAACACCGGCCUUGAAUUCCCACCCUAAGCAAGGAGACCAUCUCAUUUACAUCGCAGGAAAACUUCAGGCUAAGGAUGGAAGCAAACUGCACGAGCGAGCCCACGUCUAGCCAGCUCAGGGCACGGCGGCAGGAGGACGAGAAGGCCCUGGAGGAUGGAACUGUUUCAGCUGGACAGCUGAGGACGAGGACAUCUUAACGGAGCAGAGUCGCAGUGUGGUCUCCAUCUGAGUCGAGUCGAGGGUUUCUUUCAGACACGGUCACUGCUUUGAAACCUGACCAGCUGGAAGGUCCAGGUGGGGGCACAGUGUGUUCCAGCAGCCGGGAGACAUUCCUACUCAGUGGGCAAUGUCAGUAAACCAGUAGGCUCUCAAUGGAAACUUCCACAGCAAGAUCUCUAUCAAC
rnacentral:lncRNA from 1 species